rnacentral:rRNA from 1 species
AUUGAACGCUGGCGGCAUGCCUUACACAUGCAAGUCGAACGGCAGCAUGGAAGAGCUUGCUCUUCUGAUGGCGAGUGGCGAACGGGUGAGUAAAGCAUCGGAACGUACCGUGUAGUGGGGGAUAACGUAGCGAAAGUUACGCUAAUACCGCAUACGCACUGAGGUGGAAAGCAGGGGAUCGCAAGACCUUGCGCUAUACGAGCGGCCGAUGUCAGAUUAGCUAGUUGGUAGGGUAAAGGCCUACCAAGGCGACGAUCUGUAGCGGGUCUGAGAGGAUGAUCCGCCACACUGGGACUGAGACACGGCCCAGACUCCUACGGGAGGCAGCAGUGGGGAAUUUUGGACAAUGGGCGAAAGCCUGAUCCAGCCAUGCCGCGUGAGUGAAGAAGGCCUCGGUGUAAGCUCUUCGGCUGGGAGAAAGUACGCACAGGCGUAAUAACUCUGUGUGGAGUGACGGUACCAGGCACAAGAAGGACC